AUAGAAGAUCCUUCCAUUUUAAAUGACAUCAGGACACACAUGGAGGACACAAGGCUAGAUCCUAUGCAUGUGCCUUUCAGCAUGGUACAUAUAAUGAGGCAAGAGGAGAGAAUCCAUGUUUCAAAUGUCAAACCACCUGGUCCUUUGCCAGAUAUAUCUAGAUUUGUUGCUGAUGCCAGGGACUCCAUUCCUGAGAGAAGAACAAUUACUACUGCUACAAC